CGGCCACGACCCGCCGUCCCUCUCCCGCUCCCUCUCGCCGCUCACUGGUACGCUAGUGCUGGUGGUGGUGGGUGCGGUCAUGGGGCUGGGGCGGGGCGAGGGGGUGAGGAGGAGGAGGAGGAGGCAUCUCUCCCUCUCUUGGUGGUUGUUGGUGGUCUGCGUCACCCCUAGUGUUCCACCUGGGUUCCAAGUUUCCAACCCACUUAAUCGUUCUAUCCCUCUCGUCCGACCGCCCCGUCAGUAAUGGAUUGAGAUUUGGACUACAUAUACGAGCACUAUAUUGAGUCAUUUGAAGAGGAGAACUACAUGGAUGAGAUGGUGAUGAUGCAGACGGUCGUUGAAGAUGCGGAGCGUGCGGAGGCGUCAGCGUUUUGAGAUGCACAAGAUUAUCUUUGAUCGCUUGUACCAAAGCGUCCGAUCCUAUGAUGACUAUUUUAUCUUGAAAAAUGGUUUCGUGGAAAGGAUUGGCUUCUCUAGUUACCAAAAGUGCACGACCGCACACAGAUGCUUGCAUAUGGCACGGCCGAUGAUUCGUGGGACGAAUACCUACGGAUGUCCAAGAGCACAUGCGGAGAUCCCACGGUCAGAUUUGCAAUUGUCGUGGUCGAGGUGUUUGGACAUCAGUAUCCGAGAGAACCAAUUAUGGCGGACAUCAAAAGGCACUUGGCAAUCUCAAAAGCAAGAGGGUGUCUGGGUUUGCUUGAUCUCCUGACUGCUAGCAUUGGAAAUAAAAGAAUUGCUCAAAAGCUUUACAAUGACAAUAUCACAGUCAUCAUAAGAAGCCCACCAUCAUUCUGGAGGCAAUUGCAUCACAUGAUCUUGGAAUUUGACAUGCUCUAAUUGGCAUACCCGAGUCUCACAGUGACAUCAAUGUGCUGCAGCGAUCAUUAUUGUUUGUGAGGCUAACUGAAGAAAAAACUUCUCCUUGUCAUUGUACUGUUAAUAGACAUGAGUACAGCACGGGUUGUUAUCUA